rnacentral:misc_RNA from 1 species
CUUGUCUGUACCGAGGCGCUGCUACGGUGGUAGAGGCAUCGGCACCGCCUAGGGGCUGAAGACGUUACAGGGAGGGCCUCUUACGUAGUGGUGGCGACGGCAGGGAGGGUGAGAGAACACGGCUUCCUCUCUCGCGCAUCCGCUGCAGGCGCCAGUGUCUCCAUGCAACUCUUCUUUCCGCACGCCCACACCUAAGCAGCCAACGCUUGUCUCUUCGAAGAUGUCCGAUGACCACACCCCCAUCAUAGCUCGCUUGGCGUCCGCACAGGUGGCGGCACAUCAAGAAGACGAUUCGCCUUCCAUCGCAGCUGCUGAUGCGCGCCAGGCUGAACCACGGGACCACUGCAAGAGCCCCACCUGCACUUCCUUUUGUGGCGAGGCCGCAGGCACGCCGCUGCGGCGGCAGUUGGCGCAACCGUGCGCCACUUCCACCUCGCCCCGGGACGUUGUCGCCGAGGACGCAGCGCCGCCUGCAGAGCUACCGACGCUGGUAGCAGGCUCGUCGCCAGCCUCCACCGCUACCUCCACACCCGCCGCCUUCGGUGGAAGCGGCGAUGGCAUCUUGCAGAACGGUGGCGGCGCUGCUAAUGCCAGCUCCGGCGGCAGCACUGGCUCUCUCCUCAGCAAAUCUAAGGCAGCGAAGCGGCACCACAAAAAUGCCAGCACACCCCAUGCAAACCGUUGCAUCGGCGCCACAGGCUCUUCUUCAGAUUGCAGGUCCAUCUCCGAGCGUUGCAAAGCCGCCCGCACCUUGGCUGCGGAGCUCAUGUCUGCACUCAUGGAGCGUCCCCCUGAGGCCACUGAGAUUGCGCAGUACCGCGCAUCGAUGGAGGCUGCAACACUGCUGACAUUGUCCACUUCGCCAGCUGUGGCGGAGUCGCAGCCCACGGGUGGGUCUACUAUGCGACCGAAAAAGCCAGCGCACCAUGACGCCAGCGUCACAUCUCGACUGAUGGGCAAAGGCAGUCCUACGACGUUGACGCACUCCUUCUUGGAGGCCGUUCUGAACGGCCGAGCGAAGACAACGCGCGCGUUGGCCCCUGGCACGCCACUGGUGCACACCGACACGACGUCUGGCACAACAGUCUCUCUCUCGGGAGUAGCGUCGCCCACCGCUAGCCCCGGCAACGGCGCUCGUGCUGACCAGCGCAGCGCGUCCUCCGGCGCCGCCACUGCUUCCAAAGCGACAGAGAGGACUUCAGCGCAGCCAUCUGCCCCUAAGCCGCUGGGGCUGGUGCCGACCGACACGGGCACCAUUCCGCAGCUGCUGAGUCUUCUGCGUGAGAUAGCGCUCUCAUGCGCGUCGCUGGACACCCUCGACAAGGUGGCAGGUGGGUCGGCGUCCUUUUUGAGAGGCACAGACGCUGCGCCUUUCCACACAAAGCCACUGGGCGCCGCCAGCGCGCCGGUCACGGCGGCCGUUGCACGCGGCGCGGGUACUGGUGGGGGCAGCGCCACCUCUGGCGGUCGCUCGGCAGCACCACCCACGGCAAUUGCCACUGCACAUCCUUCACACGACCCCGACAUCACGGAAGAAGAGCGCUGGCAUCGCGUAUGUGCCCACUUCGAAGUGCUGCGCGGGCUUGUCCUGAACGAGCAUGAGCUGACACGUGCGCUGGACGAGGUGCUCGGCGUGGAAUGGCGCGGCGUGUCAACGCCGCCGGACCUGCACGCGUACGAGGAGGGUACUGCCGUGGCGCCGAGUGCGUCGCCGGCGGUGUCGGCGGAUGGGCUGCACAAUCCUCCUGCGGCAACGCUCUUAGGCGCACCAGUCGCUGCGGCUGCACGGUCGAUUGUUCCUGUGACGCCUGCGCCAGCUGAUCACGAGACGCCACCAGCCCCGUCCUUCACCGCUGGCUGUGUGCCUGGCGGGGCCGGCACGCCGAGGACAUCUACCGCUGCCGCUUCUUCUGCCGUUACUCCCAUGCCGAUCACGACCAGCUCACACACCGGCACGAAUGCCACCGGCGUGAUCGGUGUGAAGUCUGCUGCGUCGCCAGGGACGACGCUCAGCUACAGCGCACGCCCCUCCCAAAGCCGCACCCCGCCCAGUGUUCAGAAGCCGCGAAGCGCCUCGUUUUUUUCGGCAGCACCAAUCCCGGUUGCGCACAGCCCUGCCGCCACCGCGAACGAUGCAGCCUCCUCCUCGAUGAAGCAGUUGUCCGAGAGCAGCUCAACGUACUCGCCGUCGCAGCACGUUGCCAUGAUGCUGGAUCGCGGCACGACGCCACCGCCGGCGUCGCGCACACAGGAUGAAGGCGAGGCCGGACUCGCCAACUUUCCUUCGACACCGUUGUCUGAGGCAGCAGCGCCGUAUCAGCCCUCGGCGUCGCUCAUGAACACUAGCCCGCACGGCGGCAACGCGUCCACGUCGAACAGCGCGCCGUUUCACCUGGAAACACGCGAGGAGAUGCUGCGGCGCCGCAGUGCGGCACCGAACGCGUUUUACGCUUCCGUAUCGCACAGAGGCACCACGCAUUUCGUCGGCGGACCUCCCAGCGCGGCAACGACCCCACGCACGUUCAUGUCGUCCUCGCUGGCGCCGGGCAUGCCGCCAUUCUCGCUCAACGGCGGUGCUGGCGGGGCGCGCAGCUUGCCGGUGUCGCCGCUGAUGUCGUACUCCUCGCCGUUCGGCGCCUUGCCAUGCCCUUAUGAUUAUCUGCUUGUGCUGGACUUCGAGGCCACCUGCGAGGAGCACCCGCCGCCCAACUACCUGUACGAGAUCAUCGAGUUCCCGGUGGUGGUCGUCGAUGCACGACUGCAGCGUGUCGUGGCGGAGUUUCACCGAUUUGUGCGCCCGCGAUACAAGAGAGAACUCAGCCCCUUUUGCCAGAAGUUGACCGGGAUGCGGCAGGAGGACGUGGACACAGCAGCGUCGCUUGAGGAGGUCAUCAGGCAGUUUGAGCGCUGGCUCUCCCACACGCUGCCGCCACAUGCCCGCUGUAUGUUCGUGACGGAUGGCCCGAUGGACUUGCGCGAGUUCAUGUACUAUCACAGCGUUUCUCGCCAAGGCAUCCGCUUCCCCUCGCUCUUCUACCAGUUUAUCGACGUGAAGCAGACCUUUGCCUGCUUCUUCCGGUGCUCGCAGGGGAAGAUCAAGGCGAUGCUGGAGGUGCUGCAUCUUCCCUUCGAGGGGCGGCUGCAUAGCGGGCUCGACGACGCGCGCAACAUCGCGUCCAUCGUAAUUGGUCUCCUUCACUACGGAUGCAGUUUCUGUGAGGUGCCACUAAACCGCCUGCCGUUCAAUGGACUGCUGCUGACCGGAGCGAACAGCGUGAGCGGAUCGGCACCCCUCUUGCUACCACCCUCGACGGCGCCCGCCGCGUCCUGCCACACACGAUCGUCCGAGGCGUCACCCACGGCCAUCUCUGCUCCUUACUCCGUGAACGAGGACGACCACUCUCGCUAGGCCUCCCGCUCCCUAGAGCGACUGGAGGGCGAGAAUCGUGCGUGUGUGUGCGCGCCUCUGUGUAUGUGCGGAUGAUGGACGAAUGCAUGAGGCCACUCAUUUUGUUUCGUUGUUUGGUUGCCUGCGGUCUUUCACACUGCUUCUCCCUUCUCACCAGGUCGUUGGUUUCCGUUCAAGAUGACGUGGUUACCGUUGACGUUGGCGUUGGCGUUAAUGCCGCUGAUGGAGCCUCUCGUGCGUGUGUGUGUGUGCCGCACACUCUCUCCUGGUGUUGUGCUUGAACCGUUGUGCUCGCUCUCAUUUUGAUUGCCUUCUGUUCUAUUGCAUAUCUCCUUUGCUCUCCUCCUCCUCCUCCUCUUGCGCGCGCGCGCCUCCACCCACCCACGCACCGUCGGCCCAUCCUCCCUCCCUUCCCCCAACGGGAGCAACGCGUGCCUGUACGCGUGUGCGCCACUGCGUUUUCGCGGGGACAUCUCCGAGUGCGCUUGAAUAGACCUGAAAACAAAGCGAGAAAACAAGACGCAGAGCUCGUAGCGGCACCCGCCCGCGCAGGCGCAUGGCUGAUGUGAGGUUAGGAGAGGGCUCGAUACCGACAGACACCGACACCAUAUCCGGACUGCAACUCUGCUUCCGUAUCUGUGUGGCAUGCAAGCGCCAUACCACGUGUGCGUCCAGUGUGUGCACUCUUCUCGGGUGACACUCGGCUGCACCUGUGGCGCCCUUCCCUUCCCUUCCUCGCCUCUCACCUUCUUGACAACACUUCGUGCAAUGUCGCAGGCUCUUCCUGGGCGUCUGCCAGCGCACAUCUUGUGGUUGGAUGCACACACACACACACUCACACAGACACAUCCAAAGAGGCACCCCGUGCGCCAACCUUCCUCCACCUCUCCCGUUCUCUCUCUGUCUUCUCCUUCGCCUUUUGGCAUUCCUGCGCCGCUUGCGGCUCAUUCUCUCUUAUCCAUCCUCUGUGACGACAUCUCUGCGGUCCGUCAUCGCACCGACAG